AUUCACGCUGGCGGCGUGCAUCACACCUGCCAGUCGAACGAUGAAACUUAAAUGAUUUCUUCGGAAUGAACUUAAGUGGAUUAGUGGCGGACGGGUGAGUAACGCGUGAGUAACCUGCCUUACACAAGGGGAUAGCCGUUGGAAACGACGAAUAAUACCCUAUGAAACUAUCACUUCGCAUGAAGCGAUAGUCAAAGUGUUAGCGGUGUAAGAUGGACUUGCGUCUGAUUAGCUAGUUGGUGAGAAAAAAGCCCACCAAGGCAACGAUCAGUAGCCGGCUUGAGAGAGUGUACGGCCACAUUGGGACUGAGACACGGCCCAGACUCCUACGGGAGGCAGCAGUGGGGAAUUUUGCACAAUGGGGGAAACCCUGAUGCAGCGACGCCGCGUGAUUUAGAAGGCCUUCGGGUUGUAAAAAUCUUUUGUAUAGGAAGAAAAUGACAGUACUAUACGAAUAAGGUCCGGCUAAUUACGUG
rnacentral:rRNA from 1 species